CAUGCCAUGGCAGCUUCCAAUUCUACAGCAAGUACUAGUGCUACAGUUAUUUCAUGUUACGAAUGUGGGAAAGAUAUUUCAGGGAAGAAAACUCGAUAUAAUAUGUUCAGCUCUUGUUUUAAAUCUAUGGAAGUAUGGAAGAGACUGGUUUCAGACAGAUAGGUCGAGUUAGCUAUUGAUAUUGAUGCCCAAGAACUCUUAUCUGAUCCUGAUGGAACAGUAGGGAAGAUACAUGUGCUGUAACAUAUUAAACACCAAUUAAUAUAAUAGGUAGAAUGUGUCCUCAAUGCUGUAAAGCUUUAGCAAGGUUUCAAGAUUUAGAAAAGAGCACUAAGCAGUCGCGACGCCAACGGUAAGCUCACGUGAAUUUUAUUUUCCAAGUGACGUCAUAAUGGCUGCCAAGUGAUGGCUAAAGCUGUGUUUAGUUUUGUGCAGUUUACAAGAUGGUGGGUAGUCUAUAGCUCUAAAAAGCAAACUCAAACUUGAAGCAAAAAGAUUCCACACUCAGGAUCAUUAAUCAAGUCAUUUUACCUCAAUAGAAUUGUUUGAAAUCCUUUUAGAGCUAGAUUUUAUACUUGUCAUUAUAGUCAUAUUAUGUGCCAUUGACUUUCAGAGACCACAGCAUCCUUAUUUCUUGCUGGAACAACUUUAAACUUCUGGAGUAUAUUCUUCUAGCUACUAUCUUGUUGUAAGCAAAUGGACAAGAAGCU